UACGUAGGGUGCGAGCGUUGUCCGGAAUUAUUGGGCGUAAAGAGCUCGUAGGCGGUGUGUCACGUCGGCCGUGAAAACCUGCAGCUUAACUGUGGGCGUGCGGUCGAUACGGGCAUCACUGGAGUUCGGCAGGGGAGACUGGAAUUCCUGGUCGUAGCGGUGAAAUGCGCAGAUAUCAGGAAGAACACCCGUGGCUAAGGCGGCUCUCUAGUACGGUACUGACGCUGAGACGCGAAAGCGUGGGGAGCGAACAGG
rnacentral:rRNA from 1 species